rnacentral:rRNA from 1 species
UACAGAGGUCUCAAGCGUUGUUCGGAUUCAUUGGGCGUAAAGGGUGCGUAGGCGGCGCGGUAAGUCGGGUGUGAAAUCUCGGAGCUUAACUCCGAAACUGCAUUCGAUACUGCCGUGCUUGAGGACUGGAGAGGAGACUGGAAUUUACGGUGUAGCAGUGAAAUGCGUAGAUAUCGUAAGGAAGACCAGUGGCGAAGGCGGGUCUCUGGACAGUUCCUGACGCUGAGGCACGAAGGCCAGGGGAGCAAACGGG